CAGCAGCCGCGGUAAUACGAAGGGUGCAAGCGUUAAUCGGAAUUACUGGGCGUAAAGCGUGCGUAGGCGGUGAGUUAAGUCCGCUGUGAAAUCCCCGAGCUUAACUUGGGAACUGCAUUUGAAACUGGCAAGCUAGAGUCUUAUAGAGGGGGGUAGAAUUCCAGGUGUAGCGGUGAAAUGCGUAGAGAUCUGGAGGAAUACCGGUGGCGAAGGCGGCCCCCUGGACAAAGACUGACGCUCAGGUGCGAAAGCGUGGGGAGCAAACAGGAUUAGAUACCCCGGUAGUCCCUGUCUCUUAUAC
rnacentral:rRNA from 1 species